CGAAACGAACAAAACGAAGACUUACCGGCUCUGUGCGUGUGGCUCUUUCGAAGAAAUUAGAUCCGCACGCGUCGUUGCAAGAAGAAGACGUUCGUGAGUUGAUUGAGACGAAGCGGAAAAUCUCUGGCUCUCGCCGGUAAGAACUGAUAGGCCUCUGCUUCUUUUCUGUUUAUGUUCUGUAUAUCUUCUUCUUCUCCGUUUAGCUUCUGUUACGCCGUUGUGAGUUGUGUGAAGAAGAACGUGGAGGUUGUGGUUUGAUGAAGGUUGCAAGCAAUAGUUUGUUACGGUUGCGGUUUGGUGGAGGUUGAAGAAGAAGGAGAAAAGUUUGUUAGAAAUUGGUUCGGUGGAGGUUGAAGAAGAAGAAUUCACUGCCUCAUCUUCUUCGCCUCUUGUUGCAAUUCCGAGCGUUUGCCAGAUUCGCCGGCAAGAGUGUUGCGUGAGGGAUCACGGUGAGAUUGCAAGUUUACGGUGAAGUUGAGAGUUACAACGAUGGAGAGUGAAAACUCUAAAUCGUUAGGAUACAAGAUCGUAUUGUGAGGAAAUGGAAAUGUGAAAAUCUGGAAAAAAAUGGAGCCUCCCCCUCGAACCUGAGACUUGCAGGGUAUUUAUAAGGUUUCUAUUCUGUUAGCAAAAUUCUGUUAGGAAUUCAAGAUGAAAUUCUGUUAGGAUUAGUUAUAGUGACUCAAAUUCAGUUGGUGAAAUUCAAACGAGGCCAAGAGGAAUUUGGUUUUAAAUUGGUUUGUAUUUUGAGAUGGUUAGAAGUUAAUUUUUCUGUUAAUUGAUGUUGUGAGGUUGGUUAAAUUGUGCAGGAUUUUGUUUUGGAUUUAGGUGGUGUGCAUUUGCUUUUGGGUAGCAGCUUUCGGUAGCUGCAGUUUACUCUUGGAAUGGCUGACGGUGUUUGAAUGUGUUUUGGAGUUUUAUUCAUUACGUGGCCGUUUCGUUUGCUUGCAACUUGUAGCAGUUGCUUUGGAAGCUUCAUGUGUAUUGCAGCUUCUUUCACUUUACCUUCUUUUCGUGUACAACCUAUCCAUAUUUCCUUUGGACUGUAAUGUGGACAAUUUGGCAUAUGGUUUAUAUUAUAACAUGGGUGAUGCAUAAUGUUGUAAAAUAUGUGAACUGGGUUUGGAUGUAACAUUGGAUAUGGAUGUAAUGGACGGUAGUUAAUUUGGACAUGGAUCUAAUGGAUAUUGGAUUUUUGAUAUAAAGUGUUAAAAUGAAAUUGGAUCAAUUAAUGGACUUAUGGGUAAUUAGAUUGAAAUGGAUUAAUAUGGAUUUUCUAAAUGGAUUUAGAUUUUAGUUAAAAUGAGAUUGGAUCUAAAAAUGGUUUCUCAAAUUGGAAAAAUG
rnacentral:lncRNA from 1 species